AAAGAGGUUUUUCGCUUUCAUGGAGUAACUUUGUGUGCUUUUUCUACCUUUUCUCAUUUUACAAUGCUGGUUCAAUCCAUCCAGACAAAACAUGCUGGAUGUCUGGAUUUUGAUUCUAUGAUGCAAAACGGGAUAUUACAAGUCGUUAAAAACAAGACCACUCAAGACAAGAGAAAAGGACAAGGCAAUUAAAGGGAGGAAGCAAUGUGAGGAUGACACAUUUCCUGCCAAAGUCAGAAAAACUCAGCAGUCCCUGGAUCAAUAGACACUUGUCUAUAACACUAUCAGCCAAUUCUAUAGGCUUUGGCCAAAGAAGAUUGUCGAAACUUUCAAGAUCAUGGUGAAACUUUCAAGACAGAAACCUGUUUGGCAGUUCUGAGGCUUUUCAACAUAAGCUUAAAUUCAAAAUUGCAAAUGUAAUGAACUAAAAUAAUAAAAUGAUGGGGGAAAACUUUU
rnacentral:misc_RNA from 1 species